GGUUAUUAAGGUUUUGAAAAGGGGUAGAAGGUUAAAUGGGUUGGAGGUUAUUAGAUCUUUGAAAUGGGGAAGUAGGUCACAUGGGUAUUUAUUUCGAAGGGGUAGUGGGUGAUAGCAGAAACUGUCAGCGAAACUCACGAAGGAACAACGGCGACAACGAAAAAGCGAAACCUUUCGAGAAAAGACGCCAACGGUAGACCCAAGCGAGACUUCCUCCGAGCACUUCAAUGGCGGACAGUGAUAUACGACUUCCU
rnacentral:lncRNA from 1 species